rnacentral:misc_RNA from 1 species
GUGCGAAGGAUGGGAGGUUUUUUACAGGAAUUCAAGUUAUGGGUUUGGCUUUGAAAUGGGGUUUUGGUGAUGAUGUGUUUGUUUUGAAUUCAGUGAUACAUUUAUAUGGUGAAUGUGGGGAGGUGGAUAAAGCAAGGAAAGUGUUUGAUAAAAUGUCUGAGAGAAAUUUAGUGUCUUGGACUUGUUUGAUUUGCGGGUAUGCGAAGAGUGAGAAUGCUGAAGAGGCG